AUCUCUAUAGAGAUUCCACAAGAUUUGGUGAGACAUGAGGAGUUUGGAGAAGUGAGUAGAGGGUAUGUAGCUAGAUGUGUGGUUUAGGGGGUUUAAUAUCUCCCACAACCUCCAGUCCUCCUUUCAAAAGAUCAACUAGGUAUCCUUUGGCUCUGCUUCAUCCUUCAGAUCCUUCUGCGUGGCUGAACUCUCCUCCCUGCACAGGACACGUACAUGUCUUUCAGUGCUGUCUCUCCUUCCAACCCACGCUUGCCAGUCCUUCUUUAAUCUCCUGCCUUCCAGCACCCUGCACACCCAGCGCUCCACACAUUCCACCAGGUUCAUAAUAAAGACCAUUAGACAUGUUCUCUUUCUACUGAGCUAAAGAUAAAGAAAUAUGCAGGUGAGUUUCAAUCCAUAGUCUCAGAUGGUGGUGGUGUGGGGAUUUGUCCUGGAAAGCUGGGUUUCUGUUUAAGUGCUGAGGAAGCAGAUAAGUAAAGAAGCAUAGUGCAUGCGUGAUGGUGGCCCCUCCUGGCUUUUAGUUUUUUAAGAAAUGUGCUCCUCUAAAUUUUUCAACAGGCACACAAUAGUAGACAGAAUAGUAUAAUGAACCCCUUCUCUGUAUCAGCAAUUUAAUUUUUUCCAAUCUUGUUUUAUUGAUCUCCACUGUAUUAUAAAUAUAUAUAAGUAUAUGUUAUAUACCUAUAUACAUUUAAAUAUAAUUAUUUAAUGUUAUAUAUUGGGUUUAUUAUAAGGAAUUGACUUACUUGAUGAUGGAGGCUGAGAAGUUCCAAAAUCUGCAUUUGCAAGCUAGAAACCCUGAAGAGUUGGUGUAGUUCCAGUCUGAGUCCAAAGGCUUAAGAACCAGGAAUCUGGUGGUGUAAGUUCCAAUCUGGAAGCUGGUAAGCCCAAGCAAGACCCAAGAAGAGCCAAGGUUUCAGUUAGAGUCUGAUGGCAGGAAAAAACCCGAAGUCCCAGCUCUAGCAGUCAGCCGGAGGAAUUCCCUCUAACUCAGCCUUUUUGUUCUAGUCAUGUCUUCCAGUGAUUGGAUGAAGCCUGCCCACAUUAGCAGGCAAUCUGCUUUACUUGGUCUACUGAUUCAAAUGUUAAUCUUAUCCACAAACACUCUCAGAAAGACACCCAGCAUAAUGUUUGGCCAAAUGUCUGGGUACUCUGUGGCCCAGUCAAGUUGACACAAUUAACCAUCACAGCCACCCAGAGUUUUUUGAUUAAAUAUGUUUUAAGCAAAUCUAAGACAUCAUGCUAUUUCACAAGUAAAUGCUUCAGCAUUUAUUGCUACAUGAUAAGAAUUUUUUAAAAAGUAAAUUUUAAUUUUAAAUCAGUUUUAGAUUCACAGAAAAAUUGCAAAAUAGUGGAUAGAAUCCCUGUACACCUCACAUCCAGCUUCUCCUGUUACUAACAUCUUAUACUAGUGUGGUCCAUUUGUUAUGACUAAUGAACCAGUAUUGACAUAUUAUUGUUAACCAAAGACCAUAAUUUAUCUGGAUUUUCUAAAUUUUUCCCUAAUGCCCUUUUUCUGUUUCAGAAUCUCAUCCAGGAUACUACGUUACCUUAGUAGUUAUGUCUCCUAAGGCUUCUCUUGGCUGUGACGAUAUCUCAGACUUCCCUUGUUUUUAAUGACCUUGACAAUUUUGAGGGGUACUGGUCAGGUAAUGUGUAGAAUGCCCCCAUAUUGGAAUUUGUUUGAUGUUUUUCUCAUGAUUAGACUGAAGUUAGAGGUUUUUGGGUGCAGGACCACAGAGGUAAAGUAGUAUUCUCAUCACAUCACAAGUGUGUAGACUGCCAACGUAAUUUAUCGCAGUUGAUGUUGACCUUGACUAUCUAGCUGAGGUAGAGUUUGUCAGGUUUCUUCACUAUAAAGUUACUCUUUUUCCUGCCUUUCCAUACUGUAUUUUUUGGGAGAAAGUCACUUUGUGGAGCCCAUACUUAAGGAGUGGGGAGUUAUGCUCCCCUUCUGAGAGUAUCUACAUAUAUUGUUUGGAAUUAUUCUUCAUGGGAGAUUUAUCUCUUCCCAUUCAUUCAUCAUUUAUAUCAGUAUGGACUCAUGGAUAUUUAUUUUAUAGUUUGACUUAUAAUAAAAUACUACUUUAUUUAUUUUGUUGCUCA
rnacentral:lncRNA from 1 species